rnacentral:tRNA from 5 species
CGGGGUGUGGUGUACCGGUAACAUGCACCCUUGGGGUGGGUGUGACAGCGGGUUCGACUCCCGCCACCCCGACCA